GCAUCUAACUUUAGGUAAUCAGUCAUCUUUACCUUGCUCCUCACAGAUGGGCCAGGUUGAGGUGUUUGGAUAACUGGGGCUUCUGGUUGUACCACUGGUGGUGGUGGUGGAGGAGGUGCAGAACUCUCUGGUGUAGAGUAUGCUGGACUGGGGUAAAAAGGUGAGGGUGGAUACAUGGGAUAUGGUGGAUAUGGGGGGUAAUACGGUGGAUACGGCAUAUAUGUGGGAUAUGGGUGAAAACUAGGAUGAUCCGAUGUUCCUCCCAUCGAAUAUCCUGGGCCCUGUGGGUAGGGCUGAUAGUGGGGUGGAUAACCAUACCCCGAGGCCUGACCGCCUCCCUGUGAUGAUCCCACAUCC
rnacentral:lncRNA from 1 species